rnacentral:rRNA from 1 species
ACCGCCGUCACGCCAUGGAAGCCGGAGGGACCCGAAACCGGUGUGCCAACCGCAAGGGGCAGCCGUCUAAGGUCAAGUCGGUGACUGGGCG